GUUUAAGGAGAGUAAACUUCAGAAUUCCAAGUUAUCUUUAUUUUUACUAAGACUAAAAUGUUUGUUUUUGUAGAUGUUGAAAUCCAGAGACAAGAUAACUUCUUUCUUUUGAGACUGAUAACUCAAACUAACUGGAGUUAAGGACACAGAAGUCUUCUUGUGUGAGGAGGCCGUUUUCUCAGCUUCUUCAGAAGACAGGGAAAGAUAGUUUAAGAGAAGUAAACUUCAUAAUUUCAUGUUAUCAGUUGUUGUUGUUGUUUUUUUUACUUAGAGUAAAAUAAUGUUUGUUUUUUGUUUUUGUAGAUGUUAAAAGCCAGAGACAUGGGAGAGCAUCAUUCUUUUGAGUUUUUAUAACUCAAACCAACUUUGGAGUUGUCUGAUUUGGAGAGUCAUCAUUCUUGGUCUUCCCUCUUAAAGGAAAAGUUCACACAAAAAAUAAUUUAAUUGCCCUUAUGUCAUUCCAAACCUAUAAGACUUUUGUCUGUCUUUACAACACAAAUGAGUAUAUUUUUAAUUUUCUCAU